rnacentral:lncRNA from 1 species
AACCACAUCAUCUUCAGUGUAACCAAGAAUUGCUUUCAACUUGCCCUCUGAUUCCUCCAUGAGAAAAAAAGACAACAUUAAUAAGACAAGCCAAAAGAGAAGGAACAUAAUACUACAGUAUUAUUACUUAUGGGAGAAUCUGUAUUCUGCUUUUACUUCCGCAUCUCCACUCUCUUUUGCUUGGCCCAUCAACAGUUUUUCUGGGUGCCUGAUUUUCAAAAUAGAAAGAAAGAGAAACCUGACCUAGCUCAAUUUAAUUUAAUUAUACAAAAAAAAAUUCUGACAUUAUAAUUUCUUCUUAACAGAAUCUCCCUGCAAAAUUUGUGGUUGAGUUUAUAUGUGGAAAUGCUGUAGAAAAUUUGAAGAUAGAAGAUGAUGAGGGAAGAAAGUUUACAUGUGGAUAAGAAGAGGAACACCAGAAGAAGUGCAUCUAAAAUCAGAAUGAAGAAAGAUUUGAGCGGCUAACAAAUUGAAGGAAAAUAAUAAAAUUCAAAUCGUUAUGAUGAACGAAAAUCUUUUGAAGUUAAAAGUAACAAUCCAUUGUCAUAAGGAAAAGUUUAUCCACUUGUUUAAUUCAAAAGAAAUCCAAAAAAAUAAAUUUAAAAAAAUAUAGCAAAAUUUGCAUCAAGUGGACCAACUUUUCCUCAUGCACGAAGGAUUUACUUUUUGCGCACUAUAUCAAUUUGAAUUUUGUUAUUUUCUUUCAAUUUGUUAGUCACACAAAUCUUUUUCCAUUCUGAUUUUAGAUGAGCUUCUCCUAGUCUUCUUCUCCUUUUUCCACAUGCAAACUUUCUUCCCUCUUCAUGUUCUAUCUCCAAAUUUUCUAUAGCAUUUCCACAUAUAAUGUUAGAAAUUUGCAGAAAGAUUCUGUUAAGAAGAAGUUAUAAUGUUAGAAAUUUUUUCUCUGAUUAAAUUUAAUAAUUAUAAAUGAUUAAAAUAUAGUAUUAGAUACACCAGUAUUAUGAGAGGAAGGUCUAAAAUUACCAUAGUAUUAGAUACAACACUAAAAAAAAUAACCUCAUUCAAAACAUCUUUAUAGAUGAUGCAAUAUAAUAUAAUAUAAUAUGACACAAUUGAUUUAUAUUGCAUCUUUAAAGAAAAGUUGACCUGUUUUAUAAUCUGAGCCCAAAGUCGAACCAGUUUUGCAUUGGUGGUCCAAUGUUUCCUCAUGAGUUAAAGAAAAAAUUGCGUCAUAUCUCACAACCUUCAACAUUGUCUUCGAAACAAAAAGUAAAAUACAAACGGAUGGAAUAGCAGUGAAGUAAAAUCGUCAAUGCAGAAUUGCAGAUUAGUAUUUAUAAGGACUCAACUGAGAUGAUGAUUUAAGAGAAUCUGUUAAUAUUUUAUUCGGAAUACUUGCUAUAAUUUUGAUUGAUUUAAUAUCUCGUAGCUUUUAAAAAAGUAAUAUUUUAGAGAAGUCUAAAUAUUAUGGGUUCUGAGUGGUUACAAUGUUGAUUGAUUUAAAUUUUUUAUAAAACAAUUUUUUUUUGGUGAUUGUUUAAAAAGCAAAAUAUUUAUACUCGUUUAAAAUAUUAAAAUGGAUUUUAAAUAAUAUUUAAUAUUUAGUAUGCUAGUAUAAUAUCUGGAAUCAAUUAGUGUUGAUUUAUAUUAGACAACAACAACAACGCCUUAUCCCACUUGGUGGGGGUGGGAUCGACUACAUGGAUCAACUUCCGCCAUAAUUUAUAUUAGACAAUCAAUUAAAAUUGAAGAAUGAAAAAUUGAUUUAAGUUGGACAAUCAAUUAAUGUUGAUUUUUUAAUUGAUUAGGCUAGUAGAAAAGUGUUUGGAAAUACAUUGAGCCAGAAGACAACAUGUGACAAACAAAAUACACCACUUGACAUUUGCCAAAUCUUUCUUAGUGAAAAAUGUCAUUACUGGAAUUUGUCCUAACACAGACACAAUGCAUAGAGUUCGUUUAUCUAGAACUUCACGGAAUAAUCAGUUUCCAAAAAGUACUUUCACACUAUUACAGUAUAACUUAUCCAACCAAUUAAGUUUUGAAUAUCAGGUACGCCAAUCAAACCAAUAUGAACUAAAAGCCAAAAAUGUUAAUUUAAAUACGGACUAAAAUAAGCACAGAAAAAUGUUUAAACCACGAAUCCAAGAUUCAAAGCAAACAGGAUCAAAUAUACGAGAACCACAAAUGAAAAAAAGGACGGACAAAUAUCUACUAUAACAAUCAAUAACAAGUACAUUAGCAAGUAUUCAAGCCAAGUACAUCAGCGAGUAUAUAAAAAUCCAAAAACUCGAUCCCCCUCCACAAGAGAAAACAUCAAAAGUCCAAAAAAGAGCUAAUGCUCCUCCAACAAGUAACACCACUGGUUUCAGAAACCGAUUUAUUCAGACCUCUCAUUUUUUGCUCGAGCAAGACACUAAAUCGCAGCUAAACAUAAACAUACGGUAAUAAUGUGAAGACAAGCUACUUUGAAGUAACACCUUAAAGAGACUUCUUGGCAACGAAUACAAGAAGAUCAAUGACACGUGAGCUGCAGAACCGGGGACAAAGAAGGUAUUAGAACCAGCUGAAUUAAUAAUAAUAAAGCAUCUAAAAUUCGGGUGAUUAGAUUUUUGGCCAAAUUAACAACUUAUUGACGCACUAACCCACUAUCACAUACAAGAAAAUGUUAAAGGUGCAUUUACCUGUAUCCCCACUCGUUGUCGUACCAAGAAACAAGCUUCACAAAGUUCUUAUUCAAUGCAAUUCCAGCCUUUGCAUCAAAAAUACUUGAUCUGGAACAAUGAUUUUUUUAAACAAAAAAUGGUUAACAGGUAAAUGAAUAAUAAUGUCAGGUUGUCAACAUAAAAAGGCAACAAUUGUGUUAAAAUAAAUUUUCAGCUUUUACCAUAAUUUAUACCUGCUAUCGCCGAUAAAGUCAGUGGAGACCACAUCAUCUUCAGUGUAACCAAGAAUUCCCUUCAACUUGCCCUCUGAUUCCUCCCUGAGAAAUACAUCAUAUAAGACAAAUUGAGAAGGACCAAUACAAAAAUGGAGUAGGCAUUUUUGAAUAAAAGUAAUGAAAUUUUGCAUAAGAUCCAAUAAUACACAAUAUCAUUAGAGGAGAAUCAAAUAAUUCAGUCAUUACUUGAUAGCAUUUUUAAUUUCAUCGUAGGAAGCUUCUUUCUCCAGCCUCACUGUGAGGUCAACAACAGAGACAUCCACGGUGGGAACACGGAAUGCCAUACCAGUCAAUUUUCCAUUCAAAGCAGGGAGGACUUUCCCAACAGCCUUGCACAAAAAAAGUAGGAAUCAGUAAAACCAAAAAAAUGUGUUGACUAUAAACAAUUAAAUUUGGUGUUCAUGAGCAAGAAACAACACAACAAAUCAUAUAAAAUAUUCACCUUGGCAGCUCCAGUGCUGCUAGGAAUGAUGUUAAAUGAAGCAGCUCUUCCACCUCUCCAGUCCUUGGCUGAUGGUCCAUCAACAGUCUUCUGGGUAGCUGAUUUGCAAAACAAAAACAUAAAUCUGACUUAGCAACAUCUAUCAUAAUAGGUAACAGGCAUGCAACCAAACAAAUAGUGAACAAUAGGCUCACCGGUGAUGGAAUGAACAGUGGUCAUCAAACCCUCAACAAUGCCAAACCUGUCAUUGAUAACCUGCAAAAUUGACAAGAAACAAUAAGGACUAUAAUAAUCACAAACAACACAAAAAAAUCCAUUAAACAGAAUCUGCUGAAUUGCAAACCUUGGCAAGUGGGGCAAGGCAGUUGGUUGUGCAGCUAGCAUUGGAAAUAAUAUCAAGCUCUGGCUUGUACUCGUGCUCGUUGACACCAACAACAAACAUGGGGGCAUCCUUACUGGGGGCAGAAAUAAUAACCUUCUUUGCACCACCCUGAAUUAAUAAAAACACAGACACAUCAACUUCAAAUCUUCAAUAACAUUCUACCCUACACUAACUAUUAUAGGAACAUGACAUCCAAAAAAAUUGAUAAACCACUUCAAUAUUUGAAAAAUAAGAGGCAAAAUUAGGAUACACAAUGCAUGAAGCAUAGAGCAUAGCAAAUAAUAACGCAUGAAAAUAGUUAAUAUAAGUAAAGGCUAGUGGUAGAAAUACAAACCUUCAAAUGUGCGGCGGCCUUGUCCUUAUCGGUGAAAACUCCGGUGGACUCAACAAUGAUGUCAGCUCCAGUUGACCCCCAUGGGAUCUCUUCAGGGUUUCUGAGUUCACAGAGAAAACAACACUCAACGUUUACAUGCAGGACACAACAAUCAUAAACAGUAAGAAAAAUUAAAGUGAAAAAUAAAAACCUGUGUCCAAAAAUAGUGACUGGCUUGUCACCGAAGAGAAGGGUCUUCUCGUCCUUAACGGUGACAUCGUGAUGCUUCCAGUGUCCAUGAACACUGUCGUAUUUAAACAUGUAUGUCUACAUGCGCAACCAAACACACUUAACAAUCAGAUCUAAGAUUUUACAAUAAAUAAAUAAAUAAAUUAAAACACCGUAACUAACGAUCUGAACCAUAACCGAACAAAAGGCAUAUAUUCUAUUAUAGAGAUCAAAGUAGAAGGUUUAGGUUACCAUGUAAUCGGUGGUGAUGAAAGGGUCGUUAACGGCAACGAGUUCAACAUCGUCUCUCUGCAGAGCCACUCUGGCUACCAAACGGCCAAUUCUUCCAAAUCCUGUUAAAUUUCAAUUUAAAUAUUAAGAAAAAAAACAGAGAAAUGGAAAAGGUAGAAAAAUAGUUGAACUGAUCUGAAGCACCAGAAGAGAGAUCGAAGAAUGGAGAAGACUUACCGUUGAUUCCGAUCUUGACCUUGCCUGAUCCAUGCAAUUCAUUUGAAAACAAAACAAAAGAAAAAUCAGAAAAGAAAGAAGAAAAAAAUCAGAUCGGAAGAAACAGAGAAGAGUUGAAAAUGGAAAGAAAUAAGAAGAAGAGAAAAAACGUGAGAGUGCGUGGCGGUUAAUUGCAUACCCAUGAUAAUUGCGGAGCAGAAGUGCGGUUGGAGUAGGAAGUAGCAGAAGUUGUUGAGAAAUGGAACGGUGUGAGUGAGUGAGUGAGAUAGGGUUUUAAUAAGGUAUUGAGAAGAGUAAAAGACCGCAAUGACAGGUAAAUGGGCCAAGUGAAGUGCGUGACUCCUACGGGACCGCCUUGUGACUCGUGAUGCUUUGCCAAGGACUACUACGCUGUACCGUUUUUUUUUUUUUUUUUUUUGUGGUUUCUGUUUCACGCCAACAGAUAUGCGAAUAUUCCAUUCGCUUUUCUCUCUUUUUAUUGUUUUGAUUCUUUUUUCAAUUUUACUUGGGUUUUUUUUUUUCUAAAUGAAAUAAGGUUAUUCUUAGAUGUUUGGUUUAGUGAGCAGGAUAUAAUACUAAUACUAUACUGUACGAGAAUAUGAUGAGCUUUAAUUAUAUUUGAUAUUUGAUGAACAUCAAAUAACAAACAAUGAAACACAUUCAUGGAGUAUUUAGGUCUAUUUAUUCAGAGAAUUUGGGUCUAUUUUAAUUAUUCUUGGGUGAGGCUACCGCUUGCAUAUGACCUUUUCAAUAUAUUUAUAUUUUUUUAAAAAAAAUUAUUAAACAUAACUAAGUGUUGCACAAAUAUAACAAAAUCAUACUAUCAUACUAUCUUUGAUCAUCAUCACAAAUGAAAACCAUAAGAUUAAAUAAUCAAGACAAAUAAAAAUGAUUAAAGUAGUUACUUUUAAUUAAUACUAAUAUAAAUUCAAAUUUUAUUUUAAAAAUAUCCAUAAAAUCAAUGGAUAUAAGAAGUGGUUACAUAUAAUAUCACUACUCAUAAUACAUGAAAAAUACUUGUUAACCGAUGAGAAUAAGUUAUAUUAUUAAUAGUUCAUUAACUGUAUAUACUUUCAUGAAUAAUGAGUGAUCAUUAAAAGACUUCACAACAAAUUAAAGAUAUAAAAAAAUAGUUAUUAAUACAUUUAAAAAUAAUUAUAUGAUUCUUAUGAUUAGGGGAAAAAAACACUGUUUGUUUAUCAUAUGAAGGACCAGAAGAUAGUAAGUUACCAAGCCAAGGCAUGAUUUCCUCUGUUUUUUAUUUUAAAAUUUUGUUUAAUUUUUGUCUAAUAAAACAUGAACACAUACUUUCCUGCAAUAGAUUGUACUAAUCCUAUCCUAUUCAUACUAAUUAGCAGUUAUUUGGGAAAAAAAACAUAAAUUUAGUUUUUCAUAUCUUAAAAAAUCACUAUUAUUAUUAUUAUUAUUAAUAUUAUCAUAAAAUUAUAAAAGCUAACUUCUUAUUCCUUAUAUUUUUAACAUUAACUCAUUCAUGUACUAAAAUUAAAAUGUCAUUAUCAUAAUUUACCGAAAAAAUAACAACUUGUCAAAAAUUGAGUGAAAUACUUAUAUUUUGUAAGUGUGUAACGCUAUCCUAUAGUUUCUAGAUUCUAUUUUCUAAUGAGAAAUCACAAAGGAGCGAGGAGGAUCGGAUUCAGUGGGCACAUCAUCACGUUUUUGAAGUGGAAGCCAAUGUUCGCAUACACGUGGCUUUCAAUUUUCAAACCACUCACUAGCCUUUUACUUUCUUUCUGGGGUUCGAAACUUGUGGCAAUGGUUGGAGGGUGGCAUGAUAUUUAAUUUAAUAAAUCAAUGAAAUAGCCAAAAACGGUGAUAAUAGGACAUGCCUGCCUGAAUGUUUUGACCAGAUACUUUUGUCCUAUCAUCAUUUGCGCAUCCGGAACUCAAUUCAAAGUUUGUUACUUAAACAUCUUCAUAAAUGUAGAAGUUGCUAUUUAAAUUAUAUGUUUGGUAUAAAGUUGAAUCGAAUUAAUUUUAUAUUAAAAUUAAAAUAUAUGUACAAUAUAAAGUAUUGGCCUUUUAUGUAUAAAAAUCAAAUAUCAGGAGUAUAAAAUUUUGAUUUUUUUAGAUAAUAAAAAUUAUUUUUUAAUAUAAAGGUUAAAUUAUAAUUUUAAUCACUCUAGUUUCUCAAAUUUAUAAUUUUUAUUCCUUGAAUUUUAAUUAUAACAUUUGGUCCGCUAAUCUUAUAAAUUGAUGAUUUUAAUCCUCGUGAUACAUUUUUAUCAAAUGAUUAUGAUUACUUGAAUUAAUUAUAAAUUAAUCAAAAUUAUUAAUUAUUAAAAAAUUAUUGAUAUUAAUUUUUUAGAAAUGUGUUUCUCUUCUUUUGUAAACACCUCUUGUGUCUCCAUUAUGCAGGUGACUCCACCAGUAAUAUCACAUUAAAGUUAAUAGUUUUUUAUUAAAUCUUUUUACUGAUUAAUAAUUUUUAUUUAAUUUAUAAUUAAUUUAAUAUCUUUAAUAAUCAAAAUUAUUAGUCAAUAACCUAUUAGGGUUUAAAAUCGCAAUUUUAUAAAAUUACGAGACCAAAUAUUACAAUUAAAAAUCAAGGAGAUCAAAAUCAUGAAUUUGAAAAAUUAGAGAAAUCAAAAUUACAAUUCUACCUAAUAUAAAAAUAAACAUAUCUUAUAUUUUGUGAACUUAUGAUUAUACAAGAGUUUUAUACUUUUGUGUGUUGGCUUGUCAAGUAUAUUUGUAGGUUUAAAAUGCACUUUUAAUUUAGUUUAGUAGUUUAUCUUUAAAAAAAAUAUAAUUUAGUGUUUUAUAUUAUUAAAUUGAAUCAAAAUAGUAUUUUUCAAAAUAAUGAUUAUUUUUUUAAACACGAUUUUAAACCCUUUUUAGACCAAUUUAAUAUGUAAAACUUGUCUUAUUAAAUUAGUUUACAUAAAAAUGAAAUCCAACUUAUGCUUAAAUAAAACAUAAUUAUUAUAGGACCGACAAUUAAUUUAACCAACUCCAACAUAUUUGAAGACUUGAUUCGACAAUUAAUUAAUUGAACUUGAGUCAAAAGUUAGACUCUUUUAAAAAAAAAGAGUUAAUCUUAAACUAUUUAUAACUCAAAGGGAUUAAUUCAUAAAUCAACUAAAUUGUAUACUUAUAUAUAUACUUUUAUUUAUUUUAUUCAAAACAAUUUUCAUAAAAAUUAUUUAUAAAUAAAUAAAAUUUUAAUUAUACGUAUAUUAUAUUAUUAAAUUGAUAUAUUAAUUUCAUAUUAAUUUUUAUUUUGCAUAAACUAUAAAAAAUAAUUUUAAAUUGAAUCAGAGCAAACAAACUAAAUCAAGUUAUCUUGAAUUGAACAAGUUAGAGCUAAAAAAAAAAAAGAGGUUGAUGUUGAACUCCAUUUACCAAACAAGCCAAUUUUUAACCAGCCAAGUUUAACUUAAUAACUUGGGUGAUUUGUCAUAAUCAUGAUAAAAAUCACUUGAAAAAUUAAUCUUAAGAGCAAUCGAAAAAGAAUAUGAAAUUAGAUUUUCUUUUCCAAAUUUUCAAUUCCUUGAUGGAUUCACUUUCACCCAAUUUUUGAACUUUAAUUUUUAUAUAUGUAAAUUUAAAUAGAUCUCAAAUAAAUCAAAAAAUGAUUGAAAAUUGUUUUCCAAUAGUAGAAAUGAUUAUUGCUUUAUCAAUUAACAAGAUUAUUUUGUCUCACUUUAAAAAUAUAAAAGGACUAAAAUGAUUUUUUUUUAAAAAAUAAGAGAUCAAACUUAAUAUAAUAAAAAAAAACAAAAAAAACAAACUACAUUUUUAUAUUUUUGUAGCAAUAUAAAUGGAUAAUGGGAAGAAAAUAUUAAAUAAAUGAACAGUAAAUAUAAAAUAUUUGUAUUGUUGUGUGAGAAAAAAAAAAGAAUGAUCGAUUUUUUUGUUAAGUGAUAAAAAAAUAACAAGGUAACUCCCACAAGAAAUUCUUGUGCUGCUAUACUCUCUAGAGAGCUACAAUUAAAUUUGUAGAAAAUAAAUGUGAAAAACGGAAAUAAAAAUAAAGUGAACGCAUUAGCUUAGAUAAAUAGAAAUAACAAAGUAGAAAAAUUUGAUGAAUAAUAGAAUGAAAAUAAAUGAAUAAAUUAUGUGUGGCCUGGGGCAGAGAAAUGCUAAUGUAGCAUAAGAUGUAAAGCUUUCGGAGUCUGAACGAUAGAUGGGCAAAUAUUUACCCAAUUGAUUCGAAAAGCUGCCUCAUACAUCAUUUUAUAAAUGAAUGUUCGGCGUACCUUGAAUUUUAAGGAAUAAUAAUAGUAAUAUAUAAUAAUAAUUUUAUAAUAACUUUCAAAUAUUUUAAAUAAAUUUUAAUAUAAACUAACCCAAUCUAAACUAUACCAGCAAUAACCAAAAAACGUUAACUUGUAAUAAAAAAUUUUAAAACAUGUGGCGAGAUAUAUAUAAAACACGAAUCUUUAAUUCAAAGCAGAAAAGGAAGGGGGGUUCAAACACUCGAGAACCAUGGAUGAAAAAUGGAGGGAAAAUGUCUGCUAUCAGAAUCAAUAAAGCCCGAGUACAUCUGCAAGUAUAUAAGAAUCCAAAAAACUCCAUCCCCUACACAGAAGAGGCAACAAAAAAGAGCUUAAUGCUCGUAACAGGGUAACAACACUGGUUCCGGAAACCGAUUUAUUCAUACUUCUCAAUUUUUGCACGAGCAAGACACUAAAUCGCAGCUUGACCAGCACAUAAUGUUAGAACCACCUUAAUUAAAAAGACUUCUUGGCAACGAUUACAAGCAGGUCAAUGACACGUGAACUGCAGAACCAGGCACACACAGAAGGUAUUAGUGUUAGAUCUAGCUGAAUUAACAACAAUAAAGCAUCUGAAAUUCGCGUGAUUAGAUUUUUGGCCUAAUUUAAUAACCCUAAUAUAGAUCAAGUGACACACUAACCCACUAUCACAUGCAAGGUUAAAGGUGGAUUACCUGUAUCCCCACUCGUUGUCAUACCAAGAGACAAGCUUCACAAAAUUCUUAUUCAAUGCAAUUCCAGCCUUUGCAUCAAAAAUACUUGAUCUAGAACAAUAAUUUAAAAAAAAGGUUAACAGACCAAUCACUAACAAGAAAAUGAAUAAUGUCAAGUUGUCAACUUAAAAAAGGCAAUUGUGUUCAAUAACUUUACAGCUGUUAACAUAAUUUAUACCUGUUAUCACCAACAAAGUCGGUGGAGACCACAUCAUCUUCAGUGUAACCAAGAAUUCCCUUCAACUUGCCCUCUGAUUCCUCCCUGAGAAAGACAACAUUAUAUAAGACAAUACAAUUGAGAAGGACCAAUCCCAAAAUGGAGGCCUUUAUUAAUAACAAGUAAUGAAAAUUUGCUUUAAGACCCAAUAAUACACAACAUAUAUCAUUAGAGGAGAAUCAAAGAAUUCUGUCAUUACUUGAUAGCAUUUUUAAUUUCAUCAUAUGAGGCUUCCUUCUCCAGCCUCACCGUGAGGUCAACAACAGAGACAUCCACGGUGGGAACACGGAAUGCCAUACCAGUCAAUUUUCCAUUCAAAGCAGGAAGGACUUUCCCAACAGCCUUGCACAGAAAAAUAGGAAUCAGUAAAACCAAAAAAGUGUUGACUAAACAAUGAAAAUUAAGUGUUCACGAGCAAGAAACAACACAACAUAUCAUAUAAAAUAUU